rnacentral:rRNA from 1 species
CCUACGGGAGGCAGCAGUGGGGGAUAUUGCACAAUGGUGGAGACCCUGAUCCAGCGAAGCCGCGUGUGGGAAGACGGUCUUCUGGAUUGUAAACCACUGUCCCCAGGGACGAAAAUCACGGUACCUUGGGAGGAAGCUCCGACUAACUACGAGCCCGCAGCCGCGGUAAUACGUAGGGGGCGCGCGUUAUCCGGGUUUACUGGGUGUAAAGGGAGCGUUGACGGCAGUGCAAGUCUGCGGUGAAAGGCGGGGGCUCAACCCCCGGACUGCGCUGGAAACUGUACGGCUGGAGUGCAGGAGGGGUAAGUGGAAUUCGUAGUGUAGCGGUGAAAUGCGUAGAUAUUAGGAGGAACUCCAGUGGCGAAGGCGGCUUACUGGAUUGAAACUGACGUUGAGGCACGAAAGCGUGGGGAUCAAACAGGAUUAGAUACCCUAGUAGUC